GUCACCUAUCCAUGUUCUCCAGAGAUGCUCCCUAACAUUUGUUGUUUCAGGUCAGGACCCUUCCGGUUUGAGUGGGCCAGUGGAGUAGAGAAGCCAAGACAGUUAUUGCACCAACAGCGGAUAUAAAAAGGUCCAGAGAGGGUAGAAGGCUGGGUAUGGGCGGGGGGAGGGGAGAGGUGGGCGAAUGUUGGAGACUGGAGACAGGAUUGUCACUAGAUGGAUAGGAUUCUCUCCCA